rnacentral:lncRNA from 1 species
UUUAGGACCCAUAUUUCAAAUGCGGCUCAAUAUCAAGUCACGUCUCACUAACUCCAAAGCUAAAAAAGUUGAAGCUAUCAAAUAUGAACACCCUCACGUACAUAUAUUUUUCAGAGUCUUCGCACGCAGUAUGUGAAAACAAAAGGGUGUUAAUUAAGUGAUGUUAAAAGUACAACAAUUUGCUUGUAAUUUUUCUCAGAAAUGGACUGUUCUUACGCUAUAAAUUAUUGGUCACCCUUACACGGCUAUCAAAAUAAUUGGGGGGGUGUAACUUUUGGAAAAAUCAAAAGGUGAAAAUAUCCUUUGGAUUUUUUCUUUUAACUUUUUUAAUUUCUUUUCCAACAUCCCAUUGUGAGAUUAUUAAAAUAUGGUGAUGUGAAUUUACUCAUGAUUGAACUGGCCGCUAAUUGAAGUAAUUUGCUUUUUAAAAGUUUUAUAUUUGCAUCUUUUUGCAGUAUACGCCACUUCCUAGUUGCCGUUAGUUGUGACAAUGGAGUCAAAACUAAGAAGAAAAUUUAAAUAAAGAUAGUAGCAUUAAAAAAAAAAAAAAAACCCAAAAGAUAAUCAAUCUAGAAAGUAGAAAAGAGGGAUUUUUUUUUUUUUUUUUGGUUCAAAAGCAAAAAGUGAAUAUUCACAUUCAGGAUUUCUGAGCCGUUUGCCAUGUAAAAUAUAAAAGUCUGAUGUUGCAACUCAAGUUUGUAGCAGCAGUCUCAUUACAAGUUUUAAGUUUUAGGUUACAAAUUUGAUGUAUAUCAUUAAAUAUUACGUCAGGCAUAACUUUUCAAAGGGACACCACAGUCAUUCCCUCUUAUUAAUAUGAUCUUUUUUUUUAAAGGAGAUUAUAAAAGACGUGUAAGUAAUAAAUAAAUAAAUAAAACUCUAUUCUAUUUUUUUUUUAAAAAAAUAGUUUUAUAAAUGCAUGCACCAACUUUAAUUUAAAGAGCACAGCCAAAAUAUUGAUAAUUAGAAAUUUGACUCCAUAAGUGGCUUUUUGUUACAAUGCAUUCGGUAACCUUUUGUGACUUUUUGAGUUGAAAAUGAAGUUGAGGGAACUCAAAAGAGUUCAUGCACUUCAAAAUUAUGAACUUUGAUCACUUGAUGCAUGUGGGUGUCUCUGUUUCAUUUUCCACAAGCACAUGAAUUUGUAAAACGCCGGUCCAUUCAGCCCAAUUUUAUUGGGAUAUGCCAGAUGAAACUUACUUUUGUCAUCCCACAACAAUAGCCCAAAUUACAGCUUUUUAGAAUUUGAAAAUCCUGGAAUUUGGACAAAUGACUUUCCAGUUCAACUGAGAUUUUCUUCUCAAAAAAAAAGUUCUCAACUCCUGUGACCGUUGUCACUUGUCACAAGUAGGGUGCAACUAGCUAGCAUGAAAAAAAUGGCAAAAAACAAAAACAAAAAUCACAAUUAAUUAAUUGGGUCCAGCUAUGGUGCCACAGUUGUGUGGUACCACAGUUGGAUUCAGCCAUUGGAUCUAACUCUGGUGACAACUGUUGACUAGAUCUAAUAGUUGGAUCUAGCUAUGGUACCAUACAACUGUGGUACCAUAAGUUUGUCCUAAUUAUAAAUAUUCCAGAAAAGGAAAAAAGAUGAUCUUGAUCUUACUUUAAUUGAUCUCUCAGUUACACUGACACACAGAAAUAUAAAGACUCAAACUGGGCUUGAACGAGACAGGUCACUGUGGUCCAACAGAAAAAUUUUAUCAUCUGGUAGCAAGUCGUGAUUGUCAUCAAUGGAGUUGAUUCGAAACAAAAAGAUAGGAAGGUUUGAUCCCAACUUGAUUAGUUUUUAGAAACACAAAAGCGUGCUUGAAUCUUGACCUGAAUGGGACGGAUCAGCCUGGCCUGGAGUAACCCCAAGCAAAAUUUUGUCAUCUUUAGUCGUCGGUUACAUUUUGCGUUGUCUCAUUCUCGCAACAAAUAUCCAUAAAUGAAUGGUCGAUAUAUUGCAUGCAUGCAUAAUCGCAUAAGAGGAAAAUAAACCCCAGUUUCCAGUCAAUUACUAGCAAAACAUGUACCGAUUAUGAUCAAUUGAUCAUCGAUCUAUAUCGUCUUGUUUCCCAAAUGGAGUGGGAUAGAAGGAAUCUAGCUCUGUUAGUGAGUUUGUUCACCUAAACGUUACAUGUUGUGAUGACUCUAUAUGUAUAACUUAAUCUAACAUGCCACAUAAAAUCCUAGCUGCCCAAAUAUUCCUUUCUUAAUGAGGCUUUAAUGUGUUAAGCCUUUAAGAAUGUCAAAGCCAGUUGCCUAAACUAGCUUGGUUGUUGGUCAUAUGCAUACCAAAUUUUAAAACCACAUCCUUUCCCAGGUAUUGUCAUUUACUCAUUUUAUUCAAAUUGAUAACCAACCCACCCAAUUUUGAAAGAAAUUUGCAAGGUAUGGGGAAAAGUUGAUGGUUUAUAUCAAUUGUUUUUUAUGAAAUCAAUGGCAAUCCCAUUGAAAGGCUCCCAAAGAGUCAUGUAAAUCACAUAUAUUAAUGAAAACUAUAAAAAAAAAAAAAAAAAAAACUCCUCACAAUGGUGUGUGUGUGUGGAUUCCACGUUGUGCCCCGAAUGUGGUUGGCGUUUAAACAACUAAUACUUCCAUGAAACGCAGGCCAAAUGAAAUUACAAUAAACAAAGACUCGUAGCAAAUUCAACGAGCUUUUGAUGAUUUGAGUUAAUCCACCCGAAUUGAGGCCUAAUUAUGAGGACCUUGAAAAGUGGUUUUGUUGUGUGAUAGCGUCAUGCAUUUUUAUCCACUAACUUCAUUUCCUCCAAACAUGGCCCAUCUUCUUUACAUUCAAUUUUCAUUUUCUGAUCCAAAAAUAUCAUAAAUAUUAAAUAGGCACCAAUAGUUAGGAAAUUUUUUCAUUAUAUUCGUAAUACUUUCAAUAUUUAA